GUCUACAGCUGUGCUGCCUAUCUCCGUGGAAGCCACAGACAGAUAACAGGGAUCAUCUGCGAAAUGGAACCGUAGUGCUGAAAAAAAAACUAUUGUACUUCAAUUUGGAAAUCACUCAGAGAGAAAAGGUGUGCGUGGGGGAGGUGUUGUUUUCCAAAAUUGGAUUUUGCAUUUUAGGAUACUCCUGUGGGUCUGCUUGCACUGGAUGCAAGGGAAGGAAUAGGAAUACAUUCUGGAAAUUGUGGCUGCAAACACAAGCCUACGAAGCUCCAGUUUUGUUUGUUUUUUGUUGCAAUGCCUUUCUGCCAGAGGGCUACAGUAAUAUGCGGGAAUGCUGUGAAAGGAGUCCUGGGCUUUCCGAGGUGCCACGGCAGCUGUCCCACAGCUGCAGAUGCAAACAGCGAGUUCAAGGGAGGGCACAGGAAGAAAAUAAAAUAUAUUGAAUCAAAACAAAAGCAAGCUGUCCUUAAGUCACAAUUUCAAAAGCGUUAUAGAUGUGAAGAGACGUACGAAUGAUGUUGGUGAUGAGGAAUAUCUGACAACGAGUCAACAAAAGCUGUUUGUUCCCUGCAGGAGCUGCAAAUAGCAACAUGACAUUCCAGUUGUACUUAAGCAAAGGACAGAAAGGAAAAAUCAAAUUAGAGUUGAUUGGUAAGUGUGAUGGAUAAGCUAUCACUACAACAUGCCAUUAUUGACUGUCCUUGUAUAUUUUACCUUGAAUUGUGAUGAUGGUUUUGAAGACUCUGAUUAUUGUGAAUUAAAGAUGUUGUGAUUCUUCUGAG